rnacentral:rRNA from 1 species
UACGUAGGGUGCAAGCGUUGUCCGGAAUUAUUGGGCGUAAAGAGCUCGUAGGCGGUUUGUUGCGUCGGCUGUGAAAUCCCGAGGCUCAACCUCGGGUCUGCAGUCGAUACGAGCAAACUAGAGUGUUGCAGGGGAGACUGGAAUUCCUGGUGUAGCGGUGAAAUGCGUAGAUAUUGGGAGGAACACCAGUGGCGAAGGCGGCUCACUGGACCGGUACUGACGCUGAUGCGCGAAAGCGUGGGGAGCAAACGGG